AUUGAACGCUGGCGGCAGGCCUAACACAUGCAAGUCGAACGAGUGGCGGACGGGUGAGUAAUGUCUGGGAAACUGCCCGAUGGAGGGGGGUAACUACUUGAAACGGUAGCUAAUACCCCCUACCAUCUGAUGUGCCCAGGUGGGAUUAGCUUGUGGGUGAGGUAACGGCUCACCUAGGCGACGAUCCCUAGCUGGUCUGAGAGGAUGACCAGCCACACUGGAACUGAGACACGGUCAAGACUCCUACGGGAGGCAGCAGAGGGGAAUAUUGCACAAUGGGCGCAAGCCUGAUGCAGCCAUGCCGCGUGUAUGAAGAAGGCCUGCGGGUUGUAAAGUACUUUCAGAGGGGAGGCGUUACCCGCAGAAGAAGCACCGGCUAACUCCGUGCCAGCAGCCGCGGUAAUAC
rnacentral:rRNA from 1 species